GUGGAAAUUGCACCAGGUUGGUUCCGGGAAAUUCUGCCUUCAGGUUCCAACGUGACCUUUCCAGCUCCAACGUGAGGAAAGCAGCUUCUUCUUGUGUAAAAUAUGGAUAAUUACUCCUGCUCUGUGUACCUCACGGGCUGUUGUGACAGCAAAUGAAAGAUGAUAUGAAAGGACUUCAUAAGCUAUGAAGCAAUGAGGCAGUUGGAAGGAUGUCAACACCCAGGACAAACUUGGAAACCUUGCAUUGAAGAUGGCAGCCACUUCUUCAGCCUCCAUCUCUGAAUACAUGAACUUCCACUACACCCCUCUUCCCAUUGCCACUGUUUGGACUUAGAGUGAGCAAGAAAUAAAUUUCUAC
rnacentral:lncRNA from 1 species